GGGGACUUCAAGGGAGCUGACACCCAGCCCGCCCAGGGUGGGGAAAGGUAUUUCCAGCAACCUGGUUCACCUCUGAGGCCACCUCUCUGAGGAACGCCACCAUCUGCUACCACUCUUUCAAACUGAAACCUCAGCUGACCUCGGCUCUGGGGAGAUGCCCAGGCACAGCCCACUCGAACAUGACAAAGCAAAAAACAGACAUUCACUCCCAGCCUGGUGGUUUCACCUCCAGUUCUCAGACAUAAGAUUAACUCAGAACUACUUGGAGUUUCCUACGUGGCGGCGACACUUCCCGAAUGCUGACGCUCUGCCCCUCUUCGAAGGCCUGCUUUUAUUUUUCCUGUCCAGGUCAUCUCUGCAAGUCAUUAAAGUUAAAGGUUCCGACUGUGCUAUUCUAGAAAAGACAAGAACAACAGACUCCUUAAGGCUAGCCCAGGCAUGUUCUCAUGGCACGGUGGAGAGACACUACAGAGGAAGUGGAAUCAUGCAGGCUAUUCAACCUUCUAAGUGUGAGAUGUUGCUAACUACCAUCCCGUUGGCCAAAGUAAGUCCCAUAGCCAAGCCCUGAUUCAAGGAGCAGGGAAAUAGACUGAUUCUUCAGUGAGAGGAACCACAGAGUGACAUGGCAAAGGAUGUUGGAUACAGGGAGCAUUGCUAAUACCACCCUCAUCCUGGUCCCAGCUGGUGCUGGGCUCACUCCAUAGAGAAGAUAAAC
rnacentral:lncRNA from 1 species